rnacentral:rRNA from 1 species
UACGGAGGGUGCAAGCGUUAUCCGGAUUCACUGGGUUUAAAGGGUGCGUAGGAGGGCAGGUAAGUCAGUGGUGAAAUCUCCGAGCUUAACUUGGAAACUGCCGUUGAUACUAUCUGCCUUGAAUAUUGUGGAGGUGAGCGGAAUAUGUCAUGUAGCGGUGAAAUGCAUAGAUAUGUUAUAGAACACCGAUUGCGAAGGCAGCUAACUAAGCAUAUAUUGACGCUGAGGCACGAAAGCGUGGGGAUCAAACAGG